rnacentral:lncRNA from 1 species
UUUCUAAGAACAAAGAAAACAUUUUAUUGACACAACUCAAAAGCAUGAUUCAAGAAUAUACAGGGACUGAAAUUAUUGAGAUCUGAACUAAUAUCAACUCUACUGGAACACAAGAGAGAUUGAAUGAACUUGAGCCUGCAUUUUAGAGUAUAAAAACCAAUUUCGGUAAAGAGAAGAUAAGCAAGCUCAACUGAGUUCAUUCAACUCAUGUGCUCCACAGAUUGUUAGAUAUCAUAAAAUUAACAAUGCAAAUAACACGUCAGACAACCUCGAUGUGACCCUUAACUACAAGGUACCCAAAAGAAAACCACUUAAACAAUUUACAGAUUUCUCUAAUGAUUGUUAGUCUAUUGUAAUGCCAUUAGACGUUUAAAGUGGCAUUGCACAUUACUACAAACAUGAACUUUGAGCUUAUAUAUUCCAUCUAUAAAAAACAAUAUCACUCCAGGUAUCAAGAACAAUAUCACUCCAGGUAAUGCUGAGAUCAUCACAUCACAAACGUGACAGACAAUAUCACUCCAGGUAAAAAGCAGUUGAACUAUCCGUAUACCGACAGUUCGGCAAAAUACUGGUUGCAAUCAAUUUGCAAAGCAAAUAAAAUACUCAAUGCAUAAACCUUCAACAAAGUCACAAACUUGGAAUAUUAUUCUUUUAAAACUGCAACUAGCAGAAAAAUGAUAGAAAACGGUGAACAAGUUAUAAAUGAACUUAGCAACUUACACCUGCAAAAAGACUAUAAAAUAUGAACAAAAGAUAAGCAUUUUCUAAGAAACUCUAGCUUAAUUUGAACUUUCAACAACAAAAUGAACAAAGCAAACACAAAAAAAAAG